rnacentral:rRNA from 1 species
UACGUAGGGUGCAAGCGUUAAUCGGAAUUACUGGGCGUAAAGCGUGCGCAGGCGGUUUUGUAAGACUGUCGUGAAAUCCCCGGGCUUAACCUGGGAAUUGCGAUGGUGACUGCAAGGCUAGAGUUUGGCAGAGGGGGGUAGAAUUCCACGUGUAGCAGUGAAAUGCGUAGAGAUGUGGAGGAACACCGAUGGCGAAGGCAGCCCCCUGGGUCAAAACUGACGCUCAUGCACGAAAGCGUGGGAAGCAAACAGG